UUCAUCCACAUCUGCUGGAGUCUCAGCUGGCCUGGCAGAGGCUCGGCUUUAACUGGAUUAACAACAAAAGCCGAGCUCAAUAACUAAUAGGCCUCUUCUUCCUCCUCUCUCAUUACUCGGUUCCCCUCGUUCCCCUCUCCUUCUCCUUCUCCUUCCAUCUCGCCGUCUUUCCUUCUCCUUCAGAGCAAAGCAGAGAGAUAAUGCGGAACACUUUUAUGCCUUCUGCUGAAUUAAACAUGCAGGGAACAGCUUGUGCUGGGUGCUAAAGCUGAGGCGAAGAGAGGGAAUAUGAAGGGAAAAAAGCCGGAUAUAUACAAUUCCGUCCCUGCAUGGAGAUCUCUGGAGUGCUGCUGAACAUUUCUUUACAAUUAGAAAGAUCUGUCGCAGAUAGGAGAGCCCAACAGGACGGCCCUUUUCCCCGCUAAUUGGUCGGGUUGGAAAGGACUGUCGGUUGGUGUUGGGCGGAAGCGGCCGAUAGCCAAGCGGAGCGGUGGCGAAAAACACUCCUCAGAGGCUUCCUGCCCACCUCCAGCUUUCAUUGUCAGAGCUGCAAAUCCCGUCUUGCCAAUCUCUUAUUCCCUUCACACGCCGUCAUCUCUUUUUUUUUGUGCCGCCGCCAACCAAUUGGGCUCGGCGAGUAACAAAUGUGCCCGUCGUCUAACUCCAAGGCUCGCCGGUGAAUAAUUGACAGCAUUUCAAACGUUCCCGGUCUCAGGUGGAUUACACACAAAAAAAAAAAACCUGGUGAUGUCUUCUCAUCCUCUCUGCAGGGGCUGAAGUUUUACUUUCUGUUCCGUCACUCAGUUUCUCUGAUCUGAGAAGAAAAAGUCCUCCUUUCUCUGCCUCCUCUCCCGGCCUAUUUGGUAUUCCCCAGACGGAGCGCUGAACCUCCACCAGCCUCCGUCCUGCCUCUGUUCCAGCCUCGUUCCCCCCGACGGAGCCAAGUGACCCGUUACCUCGUCCUCUGCUUAGCACUGCAGCGAGGACAGGACUUUACAGGGGUUGCGUUUAGGACUGAAACCUCCCAGAGCUCAAAGCAUGUCAGGACGUGGAGCUAAAAGAUCAGAGACGGACUCUUCAUCACGGAGGAUCUUCACAGUCAUUUAAAUGCACCUCGAGGAGGCUUCUGGAGGAGCUCAGAUGGAGGAAACUCAGCGCAUCUAUACCUCUUCUAUCGACAUCCAGACACGAGGCGUGAAGGCGGAGACGGUCGGCAUAAUGAAGAGCUCCCAGUGUGCAGAAUGAUCAAAAGGAAAAGCAGCGGUCUUUACAAAAAGUGAUUCCAGUGUGAAUAUCUGUGUUUGAAUGUGGGUCAGUUUGUGUCGGUUCGGACAGAAUUUUGAAAAAAACGCUCAGAUUCUGCUCAUAGUUUACCUCUUAGGAGCCCAAAACUAAAUUCUACAGAAGAAUUUUGAGACUUUCAUAUGUGAUUGCUCAUGUCACCAUACAGUAUGAACGGGAGCUUUCGUUGAGGCAAAAUGCACACAUAAUGACAAUAUAAAUACCCCUAGGCACACCAGUUUUUGUGGUUCUACAAUAGAGUUCACAUGACCCCUUUGGCAUGUCAAAAUACUAAAAAUCUUGUUACAUAUCAAACUCUACUGAUGUUAGAAGCCUCAAAAGUUGGUAAAAUGUCAACCAGACUGUAUUUUUAGUAGGAAAUACGGAUCCAUCCACAUAUAAACACUUUUUGGACCCCAAUCGUUUGACAAUGUUGUACUGAUUUCCAUUUUCAAGGGCAACUUAAUGAUUUGGAUCUACUGUAAACUAUUCGGUCUGUGCCCUCACCAAAUUUCAUAGUAGUGGGAGGUAUCAUUUUGGAGAUAUUGAAUGUCUAAAAUGGCUACCCAGAUGAGACAUCUUUCUUGGGGGUGAAAAUACAAAAAUCCCCAGGUCUGAAAGCAAAUGAAACUCUGCCACAACAUUAUACAAAACUUUGUUUUGGGUAUCGAAUAUUGAAAAAGUCAACUCUUAAUAAAACCUGAGAUGUUGGAGCAACACUUGAAUCUGAAAUGACACCAACUGACCCAUGUGGCAGUGAAGUUGAAACUUUUGAAACGCAAUGCAAAUUAAACUUGUUUCUAUUCAGUGCUUUGGAGCGAAUACACUAGGUUGUGUAGUAUCAACAAAAGGAGGCAGUUUAGGCUACACGGCUGGAAUAAACCUGCUUGAAGAAGAACAAUAAACAAAAACCCUUGACUAUACAGUCCUGUUUAAAAGUUUGGGGUCACUUAGAAAUAUCCUUGCUUUUGAAAGGAAAUCAGUUUAUUUCAAUGAAUAUAACAUUAAAUGAAUCAGAAAUACAGUCUAGACAUUGUUAAUGUGGUAAAUGACUAUUCUAGCUGGAAACAGCUGAUUUUUAAUGGAAUAUCUCCAUAGGGGUACAGAGGAACAUUUCCAGCAACCAUCACUCCUGUGUUCUAAUGCUACAUUGUGUUAGCUAAUGGUGUUGAAAGGCUAAUUGAUGAUUAGAAAAUCCUUGUGCAGUUAUGUUAGCACAUGGAUAAAAGUGUGAGUUUUCAUUCAAAAUAUGAAAUUGCCUGAGUGACCCCAAAGUUUUGAAUUGUCGUCUAUAUGUGAGGAAAAAUUGGUCAUUGGUAUCAGAAAUGUUUCAUGCCAUCCAGACACGAAGUAAAAGAGCAGAAACACAAUCAAACCUCUUCAGAAGAGGCGCUUGCACAUCUGACUAUGCACAUGAACUCAUUUUCGAAAGACUCAAAAACCACCACAAGCAAGGGAAAUUAAGGGUUUCUUUUUUAAAUUGAACAAUUCCAGUAACUUUUUUCUAAAUCUAAUAGCAAUAAGCCUAAAAAUACAUUAUGCAAAACCUCAUGUUUGACUAAUUUGCAUGUUGAGAUGGAGUCGCAGUGCAGAGAUGGUAAAAAUAUCACGAAUACCUCUUAAUAUGAGGUGCAAAAGCAAAAAUGUGAUCACGUUACCACCAGGUGUAAACGGAGCUUUGAAUCUCCCUGCAGAAGGGAUAAAGUACUGCAGGGAGAGCAGACAAUUGUUCAAGUGUACGAGGAAAGGUUGUCACACUUUUCCCCAAGUUAGCAAAAAAACACAGGCGGCUCCUGUGGCAGUUCUGUUGAAGAAACUAAAUAUCCCAGAGCAGGUGUACAGUUCUGUCCUCUGCAGAGAAAUGUGCCGAGGAGUUGUGGGAGUCGGGUAUUUAUAGGCCGAUAACUCGGCUCUGCUCAAUUAAUUACCAGCUUCUCCACAGAGGAUUGUCUCAGAAUGGUUUUCUUUUAUUGAAAAUGGGUUGUGCAAAAACAAAAGUUAUGACUGAUGAUGAGUUUCCUCGCUAGGGGUGCAUCCAUGAUACAAGAUUCUGCGACUAAUUAGGCGCCGAAGUUGGGAUCACAGUCAACGGUUUAAUAUCAAAGAACCCCGGCGAUUAGGCGAUGCGUACGAGGGCCGAACAGGAGGGGAAAUGUGCUGGACGGGGAGGUUUUUAGGGUGAAAAUCAUUAACGUAUUAAGCUUUAAUGCAAAAUAAGGUCAUUUUCAUUUGGGGGAAUACUGCGUUUUGAAUGUAACAGAUAAAGACUCAAACUAAAUAAGACCGUUUGGGUUCUCCAGAGGUCAAAAGUCUGGAUCUUGGAUCAUGCGUGCACCCGGCAGAGCAGAAAAUACAGUAAAAAGUCCAACUACGUGUGAUAACCGAAGGUACAGUAAAUGGCUGCUUCUCACAUACUUUUUGAAAUUUAAAUUGGCAACUUUGUCCAACAAAAAAAAAAAAACACAGGCGGUGAGGCUUCAUGAAAUGUUCUCCACUGAGAUGCGUUUGUAACAUAGCAGAUAUAGCUGUCUCAUUUUACAGAACAACAGACUGCACAGUGCAUAAUGUUCAACAACAACCAACAACAAGGGACCCGCUCAGGGGUUUUGGGGGGCAGCGGAGCCGAAACAGUCAAGAAAAACGAUCGAUAAGGUUUUGAAUUUGAAAAAUCCCAGCUGGACAAGUGUGUGUUCGGAUUUUGAAACCACAGAACAGCAGUUAAAAUUCAUAUUUGGUGAUAAUAUCUUAAAUAUUAUGACCAUGUGUUCUUAGAAAUGCACUGAGUCAUGAGUAAAUGAGAUGGGACGCGGCUUAGAAAUGUAAAGAUUCCCUUUUCAGAUCCUUUCUCAUAAAUAUUUCAUGAGUCGACAGUUACAACAGCCUUAAAAUACCCCUUUUAUUACAACACUGCUUUAUCUCUGUGUUUACGCCCUCGACAGUGAAACGCAGCAGCGUGUGGUUGUGAUGUGGCACAGUGAGCUUGUAAAAGCAGAGGAUGAGCUGCUGAAUCACGCACCGCUGCUCCGGUUUGUUCUUCUAUCGAGCUUUUACGGUUUCCUUGUUCUCUCUGCUUUACCAGACUUUCUAUACAUCUUCAUAGAUGUGCUGCAGAGAUUCCCCUGCUCAGACUCUCCCAAUGUCUCCUCGCAGCCAUUCCAGCGUUAAAAAAAUAAGACAAGAGAUAUAAUUCAGCAGUAAUUAAAGAGAAAUAACUGCUCAUUUGUGGAGAAGAACAAAAAACACACGGGGGCAGGAGAAACCUUGGAAUCGAUAAGGCAAAAGUGUUCCAAAAACAUAAGAGCCCGAUUUCACUUAGCAGCUCCUGUCAUGCAAAUGUGUAAUUAAAGUCAUUUAAUUAUGAGUCAAGAAAAACCCCUAAAAGUAAAAAAAUGCAACUUUUUCCAAUGUAGCUUUGCAUGCUCAGUAAAUUCUCUCAGAAAAUCCACCAUCAUGUUAAGUUUCGGUGAGAGAUUUGAUUUAAGACAAGUGGAACAAUCCCGUUGUGCUUAUUUUACCGUCACCUGCACAAGACAGAAAGGGUUUGGAGUUUGGGAUUUCAUUUAUCCUUUCUUUAAAUUUGAGUCUUUAACAUGAAACAAUCUGCCUCAUCACCUAAAAAACAAGUAUUGGAAAAUGCCAGAAAUCCAUUCUAACAAAAAAUUACAUUAAGUAUAGAGUCAAAAACAAAUCCUAAAGUUAAAAGAAUGCAAGUUUUUCCACUGCAUUUUUUGCAAAUUCUCUUGGAAAAUGCACCAUUAUGUUUGAAGUGUCUCAUUUAAGAACAGCGAAACAACCCUGUCCUGUCACUCAUGUGCCACAAUUUCACCUGUACUUCUGCAAGACACAAAGGCAUAAAAGUUUGGGAUUUCAUUCAGAACUACUUCCUAUCCUCUUUUGAAAUGUGUCCAAUUACAACACAGAACAUAGAAUAAUCUGCUUCAUCGCCAAAGAACAGUCUGUAGGACAUGAAGAUAGCUGGAAAUCCAUUCUAAUAAGUCAUUUAAUUAAGCAUAGAGUCGAAAACAAAUAUUAAAAAUUUAAAAUUGCAACUUUUUCCUUUGCAACACUGCAUGUUUAGCUAAUUCUCAUGGAAAAUGCACCAUUACCUGAAGGUUAGUGAGACAUUUCACUGAAGAUAGGUGAAACAACCCUGUCCUGCUAACAAUUAGCUACUUAUUUUAGCAAAAAGUCAACUAUCAUUUGGACUUUUGCAGUGUACAGGACAGAAAAACUGAGGAGAAUAAUUCCGUAUCCUUUCUUGUAAUUUGUCUCAGACUAUCAUUUCUGUCCAAUCUGCAGGAUGUGAAUAUUAUUAGAAAUAGACUGUAACACGUCCAGUGUAGAAAACAAAUCCCCAAAAUAAGUCAUUGUAACUUUUUCCUUUGCAGCACUGCAUGUUUGAAAGAUGUCAUAAAAGCUAAGUGAAACAACUGGAGUGUCACUUAUUUUAACAGAAAGUGUGCUUUAACCUGUACUUUUGCAGCAUGCAAGACCAGAGGCAUAGGAGUUUGGGAUUUCAUUCAGAAUGAUUUUGUAUCCUUUGUUGUUGUCCUUUGUUGAUAAAAUCUGUUUCAUACCCAAAAAAUUGUUUGCAGGACAUGGAAAAUGCUACAAAUCCAUUCUAAAAAAUCAUUUACUUAAGUAUAGAGUCAAAAACAAAUGCUGAAAAUCACAAAAUCGCAACUUUUUCCAAAGCAGUACUGCAUGUUUAGCAAAUUCUGAAGGAAAAUGACCCAUUUUCUUGCAAGAUCUUA